rnacentral:misc_RNA from 1 species
CUAUAACAUUAUUAUGAAAACUCGAAAAUUGAUCAUCCUGACCACUCUGGUACUAUGAUUCGUCAGAGAUAAAAAUUAUGUCCAUACAAUUACCAAAAAGGAAGCGUAUGAGAUAUGAAGUCAUAAAAAAUGAAAUUAAACGAAAGGAAGAAUCGCACGAUACCAUCUGACAUUCUUGUGCAGAUAAUAAUGAAAAUGUUUCAAGCAAGGCUGUUUAAAGCAAUCACAGAACUGAAUAAAGAUAGUAGAACGUUUUGUACUGUUGAAUUGCAAGUCGAUUAAAAGGCGGCGUUUACUGUCGGCGAUAUAAUUCGCAGUAUAAACGUUAAACGCUUCCAGCUGCCACUUUCGCUCGUUACUUUCAUAAAUCACGUUUUAGAUGACGUUGCGGUUUCUAUUUGCUUGGAAUCGAUCCAAUUGAGUAACUCAAACAGGGAUAACAAACUUAAUUGUUAUUACAAUCUUUCUAAUAAUACAACCACGUGAAAUAUCGGAAUAGAAAGGUUCUACUUUAAGACAUACUCUUAUUUUAUUAAAAUACUUUUUUCCCA